CCAAUAGCGUAUAUUAAAGUUGUUGCAGUUAAAAAGCUCGUAGUUGAAUUUCGGGAUCAGAUUGUCGGUCGUGCCUCGGUACGCACUGGCAUUAUUGGUUCCUACCUUCUGAAGAACCACGAUGUCAUUAACUUGGUGUCGCGGGGAAUCAGGACUGUUACUUUGAAAAAAUUAGAGUGUUUAAAGCAGGCUUACGCUUGAAUACAUUAGCAUGGAAUAAGGAAAUAGGACGUUUGAUUCUAUUUUGUUGGUUUCUAGGAUCGACGUAAUGAUUAAUAGGGAUAGUUGGGGGCAUUAGUAUUCAAUUGUCAGAGGUGAAAUUCUUGGAUUUAUUGAAGACUAACUACUGCGAAAGCAUUUGCCAAGGAUGUUUUCAUUAAUCAAGAACGAAAGUUAGGGGAUCGAAGACGAUCAGAUACCGUCGUAGUCUUAACCAUAAACUAUGCCGACUAGGGAUCGGAUGAUGUUAAUUUUAUAAUGACUCAUUCGGCGCCUUAC
rnacentral:rRNA from 1 species